ACAAACUUGGUCAUUUAGAGGAAGUAAAAGUCGUAACAAGGUUUCCGUAGGUGAACCUGCGGAAGGAUCAUUAGAGAAUCAUUGACACACGGCUCUCUGCCCUGUGUCAACUCAAUCUAUUCACCCCUGUGAACUGUCGAUCGGUUGAGAAUGUUAUCUGCAUUCUUGGUCGAGGGUGUUGCAAUUCCGAUUGGCCACCCGAAUCACCCAUUUGUUAAAAUCAUAGUGUGUGAAUGGCACGCCGCAUGGCGAUUUGAAACAAAAAUACAACUUUCAGCAACGGAUCUCUAGGCUCUCGCAUCGAUGAAGAACGCAGC
rnacentral:misc_RNA from 1 species